CUGCAUUUUGCAAAAAAGACCCCACUAAGAAAAGUGAAAACGUGAUCGGGUCCUUGCUGCACGUUGCUGGAUCCAAUCGUCGCCGAUGCUGGGGACGGACCACUUGGUCCGGCGAGACCUCUGCAAUACACCACAGACUCCAGCUUGGCACAACACUUCCUCCCUUUUGGCAUCUUGGCCAGGAGGAAUGAAAGUGGCUGCCUAUCGGCCCGAAGAUUCGAUGGAUCGGAGGAGGCCGUCCAGCCACCAUGGGCGUCGUAGCUCCUCGAAUGCCACCAUCGACUAAGCUCAGGAUCUCCGUCAUCAAAUACCAAGUCGUUGUCACGGGGCCUUCUCUAGCUUUGGGGAC
rnacentral:lncRNA from 1 species